UACGUAGGUGGCAAGCGUUGUCCGGAUUUACUGGGCGUAAAGAGCGCGCAGGCGGUCUUGCAAGUCGCGUGUGAAAGCCCCCGGCUCAACUGGGGAGGGUCACGCGAUACUGCUCGACUCGAAGGCAGGAGAGGGAAGUGGAAUUCCCGGUGUAGUGGUGAAAUGCGUAGAUAUCAGGAGGAACACCGAUGGCGAAGGCAGGUCUCUGGGCCACUACUGACGCUGAGAAGCGAAAGCAUGGGGAGCGAACAGG
rnacentral:rRNA from 1 species